rnacentral:rRNA from 1 species
CGUAGGGUGCGAGCGUUGUCCGGAAUUAUUGGGCGUAAAGAGCUCGUAGGCGGUGUGUCGCGUCGGCCGUGAAAACCUGCAGCUUAACUGUGGGCUUGCGGUCGAUACGGGCAUCACUGGAGUUCGGCAGGGGAGACUGGAAUUCCUGGUGUAGCGGUGAAAUGCGCAGAUAUCAGGAGGAACACCGGUGGCGAAGGCGGCUCUCUGGGGCUGUUCUGACGCUGAGGCGCGAAAGCUGGGGGAGCGAACAGG